rnacentral:rRNA from 1 species
GCAAGUCGAGCGAGAAGUUUAAGUUUGACGCUUCGGUUGAUUUCUUAAAUGGACAGCGGCGCAUGGGAGAGUAACGAGUAGUUAUCUGCCCUCAGGUCUGGGAUAGCCACGGGAAACUGUGGGUAAUACCGGAUAAUAUCUCAGGAUCAAAGGUGUGAUUCCGCCUGAGGAGGAGACUGCUUUGUACUAGCUUGUUGGUGGGGUAAAGGCCUACCAAGGCUUUGAUGCAUAGCGGGCGUGAGAGCGUGGCCCGUCUCACUGGGACUGAAACACUGCCCAGACACCUACGGGUGGCUGCAGUCGAGAAUCUUCGGCAAUGGGCGAAAGCCUGACCGAGCGAUGCCGCGUGCGGGAUGAAGGCCCUCGGGUUGUAAACCGCUGUCAGUUGGGAGGAAGGGUACGUGAAGAGCGUAUCUUGACCUAUCUUCAGAGGAAGUCCGGGCUAAGUUCGUGCCAGCAGCCGCGGUAACACGAACCGGACGAACGUUAUUCGGAAUCAUUGGGCUUAAAGGGUGCGUAGGCGGCUAUGUAGGUGGGGUGUGAAAUCCCUCGGCUCAACCGAGGAACUGCGCCCCAAACCACAUGGCUAGAGGGAGACAGAGGUAAGCGGAACUGAUGGUGGAGCGGUGAAAUGCGUUGAUAUCAUCAGGAACACCAGUGGCGAAAGCGGCUUACUGGGUCUCUUCUGACGCUGAGGCACGAAAGCUAGGGUAGCGAACGGGAUUAGAUACCCCGGUAGUCCUAGCUGUAAACGAUGAGCACUUGGUUGAGGGUCCUCCCAUAGACUCUCGGCCGUAGCGAAAGUGUUAAGUGCUCCGCCUGGGGAGUAUGGUCACAAGGCUGAAACUCAAAGGAAUUGACGGGGGCUCACACAAGCGGUGGGAGGAUGUGGCUUAAUUCGAGGCUACGCGAAGAACCUUAUCCAGGCCUUGACAUAGUUGGAUGCUGCCGGUGAAAGUCGGUUAGUUGCCUUCGGGUGAAACUUCUACAGGUGCUGCAUGGCUGUCGUCAGCUCCGGUCCGGAGAAUGUCGGGUUAAGUCCCUUAACGAGCGAAACCCUUUGUCCUUAGUUGCCAGCCCGUUAUUGGCGGGGAAUCUUAAAAAAACUUGCCGGGGUUUAAAUCCCGAAGGAAGGUGGGG